UCUAGUAUCCAUUAUUCAUUUUAGGGUCAUUCUACGGUACCCACUUGUUUUUUGUAGGGGUACGGUACCCACCCAUAUUUGGACCAUUAAUUCUGAAGGUUUUAAUCCUGGCCGUUUAACUGAGUUUUAGUGGCUUACCGAUUACCGAUAGAACAAAUUAUAGUAUAAAAGCUAAAAAAAAGAAAGAAAAAGAAAAUAGAUGUUGCGUUCUCUCUCUCGUUCUUUCAAUUCAGAGGCAAUGUCAAUGAAGAUGAUGCUCGAGACUGUUUCCAUGAAGUUCAAGAUUGGCAAGGCAUGAUAUGCAGAGAAGAUGGCAAACGUGUGGGAGACGCAUGCAGAAGAAACCAACACAUGUGAAAGAUGGCAACUGAAGUAUUUGGCUGUAAAUUUUUUUCUUCUUCAGACAUUCCUUUCUACUUUUUCCCUGUAUUUGGCUGGAAUUUUCAAAUAGCUUAUAAAGUUGAGUUGUUCAUAAACUUCAUAUCCUUCUUUGGGCUAAUAUAGUUGUCCAUAUCCUCCAUUGUGGAUGUGUUCAUUUUUCAAUAGAGAAAAGUAUUUGCGAUUUA